UAGCCUUGUAUUGGUGUGUGUGCCUUGGAAGGAGCAGACACUUCUUCAGUCUUUACAAACUGGAUUAAGAAGGAAAGCCUUUCACCAAUCAUCACAGCUAGAGAUUCUGGAGGAUCCUUCAAUUCCUUUCUAUGGAUACAUCCACUCCAAUCAUCUCAUUCCCUCCUGGCGAGGAAGUUUUGGAAUUGUGUGCCUACUCUUAAUCCCACAGAACUGUGCCAGGUGCUGAGACCCACCCAUUCUUUUCCCUAGAGGAGUGCUCCAAGACUCCAGGGCAUUGGGUGCAAACUAUACUUCCCUCUCUCCCUCCUGAAGGUGAUGUCUGAGGAUUGUGCACCUUCCUGCCCCACACAGAGCCAUGCUGAGUGUUGAAAGUUACCUGCCCCUUUCUCUAAGGCAGUACACUGAGAUUCCAAGACAAUGGGUACAAGCCCCACUAUCCUGCUGCCCUCCUGAAGGAGCAUUCUCAGGGUUGUGCGCCUUCUCCCAGCCCUGCAGGAUUAAGGCAGAUGCUGAGAUCCUCAUACUGUCUGCAGGGCUGUGCACCUGCCAUAUAUGGGGACACAAGGGGCACCAUCUUCAGGGGUGCUGGGAUGCCAUCUGUGCUGGUGCCAAGGGCACUGGCUGUGGAGGCAUGCACAACACUGACUGCAGGGACACAUGAGGCACCAACUGGAGGUGUGCAUGUGAAAUAGCUAGCUGCUGGGGUCUGCACAUGGGUGGGCUAGCUGGCAGGUUCAUGGGCUGGUUAUUGUGAUCCAUGUAUCAGCUGCCCCAUGGUUUGUUUUUAGCUGCGCUCAGACAAUCCAGCUAUGCUGAUUUCCUCAGCAAACCGGGUGGGAUGAGACAGAAGCUGACUUCUCAAGCAAUGUCCCAAAAGGUUCAAGAUACUAGUAGCUCACUUUGCUGUCUUUCCCCUUCAGGAGAAAGAAAUGAGUGUGGACUGUCCCUCUCUGUAUUGAACUGUGCCAGCCUGAGGGAGGUUUGAUGCAGGUUAAGUGAAACUGUUCAAAUCAUUUUCAGUAUGGCUGCUCUUGGCUUUUGUGCUCCACUGGGAUGUUUGAACUUCUCAACUGGUCCCUAGAGCUCUUUUAAAGUAUUUUCAUCCAUAGAUAAUUGUUAAGUUGAUAUUCCUGUGGGUUUUGGGACCUCCCAUUCUACCAUCUUGUUGACAUAGGUCAUUUCUUUUCAUCCUUUCCUUUCUUUUCCUGCUUUCUUUUAUAAAUCCUAGCCUUACAUCACUUCAUAUCCAAAAUAGUGCUAGACAAGGUAUAAUGCAAACAAGGUCUAAUUUAUACUCUUCAGUGAAAGCUAUAGCCAUAUUUAUAAAUAGAAAAUGGAAAAAAUAUAGAUAUAUGCAAAUACAUUGGAUUAUUGAGAGGAGGAAGGACAUUGUGCUACUUCAGAUCUUCUGAAUAGCAGAAGUCAAGAUGUGAUCAGACAUAUGAGGGAUAUAGUGUGGAAAUGCCUUAUUUGGGAAAAACAGAUGGAAUAGUAGGAGUACCAGAAGUCAUCAGACUCUGAUGAAAGUCUAACACCCUUGAAGAAGAGAGAGACCAAAGGAAGGUUAGAUAGACAGAGAUCUCAGACUAUAGGGAAAUUCUAAGAAUGUUUUGGUGAGGAGUUGUCAAGCAGGUCACCUUUAGAGGCAUUGUAUAGCUUGCAAGUAUGAGUUUAGGUCAGCUGUCAGUGAUGCAACUUGGAUCAGGAGACAUGAUGGACACAUUUUUGUGGCCAUCACAGAUACCUUAUCUAUCUGGAGAAGUCACUGGAAGAGGCGAAAUGCAGGGGAUAUGACAGACUCAUUAUAUUUCAGUCAGCCAAAACCAGAGUUCCAAGAGGAAAUGGGGGGGGGGGCAAGGGAAGUUAAGCAAAAUUCAUACCUCUCCAUGACAACAUAUCAAGGGUUACUCUUUCAAAUAUUUAAGGUAAUGUCAGUGUACUUUGUGAGUUGUCCAAUUUACAGUUAAAUUAAAUGAAUGACUUAAAUUAGCAUUUCUCAAUGUUAAUUCACUGAACAUUAGCUCAGGAUUAUAAUAUAGCUAGGAGGGGUAUCUACUAUUUUCAUAUAACUUCUGUAAAUACCCAGUUAAAGUAAUUUUUCAUGGUUCAUGUGUCUGUGUGUGUUUCCUGAAGAUUUUUUCUAGAACUUGGGAUAUGUACAUUUGCAUGGUAAAUCUCCAUGAAGCGGAUUUAGUACAUAGUGUGUCACAGUUGUAAUUGACUAAGGAAACCUAUUUCUCACAGAGAAUCUCCUGGAAGUAGUGCUUUGCAGAAAUGGUGAUUUCAUGGCACAACCUCACAUCACUGAGACUUUGUUCACACAUAUUGAAGGGGUGAGGAAUUAGAUCCCUGGCGUAUUAUUUUUAUAAUACAGAAAUUCUUUCUAUACUCUCACAGAUGUAUUGUAGAGGAGUGGUUUGGAGCAUGGGUUCUGAACUUACGCAGAACCCAGUUUGAUCUCUAUACUUGCCCUUCACUAGCUUUGUGACUCUAAGCUGUGAUACUUUAAUACUGUGUGCCUCAGGGUCCUCGCUGCAAAAUGAGGAUAUUAAGAAUAAUUCUCCUGUAGAGUUGUUCAGAGGGUUAAAUGAAAGCUAUGCAAAUCACCUCACACCUGGUAAGCACCUUAAAAUGUUAGCUGUUAUUAUUAAUAAACUUUUCAUUAGAAUCCAUUUCCCCAAUGUGUAGAAACACUGUGAAGAAAUAAUUCAUCCCCCUUAGCUGUGGGUUACUCUUGAGAUUUCUUCCUUCUUCCUUUCCUUCCUUGUCAUUAUUUAGUUGUUUGCACUUGGACUAAGCACUUCAAGUUCCUUCGCUUCAGGUUUCUCAUUGUGAAACUGACAAAUAAAACCUACCUGACUAGGUGUUGUGAGGAUUAAAUGAGAUAAUGUAUGUACAGAGUCUAGUGCCACAGUGAAUGCACAAUAAGUGCUCAGCUGAUGUUAGGCCCGCUUUAAGGUUUCAGGUAUGGGGAUUUUCAUAACAAUUUACAAAGCAUUUGAACAUAUCCAGAGGGAUUAAUUUAAUCUAAAUAGAAACUUGAAAGACAAAUGUUCCUUGCUGGUGUUUUUCAUGGAUUGAAAAAGAGAGAAAAACAGUAAGAUGCUGCUGAAAUAGUCC
rnacentral:lncRNA from 1 species